AGUAAAUAUUACAGCCUUUCAAAACAUUUAAAACAGAACUCUGCGUAGAAUCGUUUUUUCGUUAGCAUCGUUGCAUACAGAUAUACAUUAAAUUCCCACCUUCUCAUCUACAAUAGUGGCCCAUCUUAUCUAUCAUUUUUGUUUGUGUAUUGUACUAUGUAUUUAGUAUGUACGUAUGCUAACAUGUCAACAAUUUUAAAAACCAUAAUAAUGUGUGUUGUAUUUCUGAACGGCCAUUUCUUUUGAUUUAGAGCGUAGCGAGAGAUUUAAUGAUUUUACUAUAGUGUGUAUGUAUAUAUAUUUUUUUUGUGUAAAAUCC